CUUUAUCUCAUGGCAAUCUGCUGUUUCAGCCUCCUGGGACCAUGGGCCUGCUGUGUCAUCAUGCCCAGCUUUAAACCACAACUCUUUUUUUUUUUGUUUUAAGAUAGGGUUUCACUACAUAGCCCUGGCAAGCCUGGGACUCACAAAGAUAUGCCUGCCUCUGCUUUCCAAGCACUGGGAUUAAAGGUGUGUGUCACCCACCCACACUGGGCUUGGACCACUACUCUUUUAUGUCCCCUGGUGACCAAAAAACCUUCAAAGUGCUUUCCUACUAAACUGUAGCACCUCAGAAAUUCCACUUGUAGACUGUUCUCAAGCUCUGACUUUCACAAGAAAUAGAAUCUUGAGUAGACAAGCCAUAGUCAGAAAAGUAGAAUGUGGUGACCUAACAGCUCCUAAGAUAGAACUCGCUAGCACAGACAGAAACCAAAAAGCAGUUGUACUCAAAUACUUUUGCCCUGUGCCUCUGGAUAUAGAAAUGUCAAGAGGGUUAAAUGAAUGACUUCUGUUUUUAUCAUGGGGUGAUUUACAGGUUUGUUGGAUGUGAUCCAUCUUGUGACUGAUUCUGCCUCUGGAAACCUAGACUGACAGCUCUCCAGGGUGGGAAUUCUGGCCGCUCCUCUAUGCUGUCACAUGUCGCCUUGGUUAUGAAAUUAUUCAGUAUGCCUACUAUGAGCAGCAUCAUGACACUUCUCUUCUGGAGGACUCUAAAGAAUAUCCAAAUAAACCCAGUCCUCCGCAAGGCCAAGGAAGAACACCAGAAACCUCUUUCUGCUGGAGCUUCGUAAGAGGUAAUAAAGUUGAAUGACUAAGAGGCUUUGGAGUCAGAUGGACCUGGGUUUAACUCCAGUUUCCAACACUCACUAGUUUUAUAAAGUAAAUUUCCUUA